CCCUUAGAUGUUCUGGGCCGCACGCGCGCUACACUGACGAAUGCAACGAGCUUAUAACCUUGUCCGAAAGGUCUGGGUAAUCUCCAAAUUUCGUCGUGAUGGGGAUAGAUUAUUGCAAUUAUUAAUCUUCAACGAGGAAUGCCUAGUAAGCGCAAGUCAUCAGCUUGCGUUGAUUACGUCCCUGCCCUUUGUACACACCGCCCGUCGCUCCUACCGAUUGAAUGGUCCGGUGAAGCGUUCGGACCGUGGCCUUUGGACGGUUCGCCGUCUGUUGGCUGCGGGAAGUUCGUUAAACCUUAUCAUUUAGAGGAAGGAGAANUCGUAGCA
rnacentral:rRNA from 1 species